rnacentral:rRNA from 1 species
AGCAGCCGCGGUAAUUCCAGCUCCAAUAGCGUAUAUUAAAGUUGUUGCAGUUAAAAAGCUCGUAGUUGAAUUUCGGGAUCAAUAUUUCGGUCAUGCCGUUGGUAUGCACUGUUAUCAUUGAUUUCUCACCUUCUAAAGAACCGUAAUGCCAUUAAUUUGGUGUUACGGGGAUUAGGACUGUUACCUUGAAAAAUUGAGUGUUUAAAGCAGGCUCACGCUUGAAUACAUUAGCAUGGAAUAAUGAAAUAGGACAUCCGAUUCUAUUUUGUUGGUUUCUAGGAUCGAUGUAAUGAUUAAUAGGGAUAGUUGGGGCAUUAGUAUUCAAUUGUCAGAGGUGAAAUUCUUGGAUUUAUUGAAGACUAACUACUGCGAAAGCAUUUGCCAAGGAUGUUUUCAUUAAUCAAGAACGAAAGUUAGGGGAUCGAAGACGAUCAGAUACCGUCGUAGUCUUAACCAUAAAACUAU